GAUGAACGCUGGCGGCGUGCUUAACACAUGCAAGUCGAACGAAGCACUUUAUUUGAUUUCCUUCGGGACUGAUUAUUUUGUGACUGAGUGGCGGACGGGUGAGUAACGCGUGGGUAACCUGCCUUGUACAGGGGGAUAACAGUUGGAAACGGCUGCUAAUACCGCAUAAGCGCACGGCAUCGCAUGAUGCAGUGUGAAAAACUCCGGUGGUAUAAGAUGGACCCGCGUUGGAUUAGCUAGUUGGUGAGGUAACGGCCCACCAAGGCGACGAUCCAUAGCCGACCGGGGAGGGUGACCGGCCACAUUGGGACUGAGACACGGCCCAAACUCCUACGGGAGGAAGCAGUGGGGAAUAUUGCACAAUGGGCGAAAGCCUGAUGCAGCGACGCCGCGUGAGCGAAGAAGUAUUUCGGUAUGUAAAGCUCUAUCAGCAGGGAAGAUAAUGACGGUACCUGACUAAGAAGCACCGGCUAAAUACGUG
rnacentral:rRNA from 1 species